UUUGAUGAGAUGCACAUAUCUCGUAUGACUAUUUGGUACUUACAGUGUUAGACUUUGUCGUAACGUAAAUCAAAUUUACGCUGUAUUAUUCAUUACCAAGGAUUUAGAAAGGAACGAGAACAAUUAUUUACAAAAUCUCGCUGGGAUAAAUUCCGUGAAUGUGCCCAUGAAUGGCUAAAACUUGAUGGGCGAGCGAAAUGGAUAGCUGAACAGGCGACUUCGGGUGAUAUAAUCAAACAAGGAAUUUAUCGACGCGCCAAAAGAUACUGGAUUUCACCCAACAUGCUACAGGCCUUUUACAGACAAAUUCCGAAUUGGGUCUGCCCGUAAUCGUAUAGAUAAAGAAAAAUUAAAAUCCCCGGCUACAAUCCAACCAGGGAAUAGCGGGAGUGUAGACGAUCUGGGACCUAGCUCUCCAAACAAAUUACGCUCCUGAAGCAAAAAGAAAGAGUAAAUCGGUGCUGCCUGUUGUGUGUAUUAUAUGUAAAAAACGUGACAGAUUUGUCACUGUUGGAGAAAAUAGGAAGAAGGAUGUAUUAACACAGACUCAGACCCAAACAGGCUCAGGCCAACUGUUGAAAGCUGCUGAAUUGAAAGAGGAUGAAGAUAUUUUAAGGCAUAUCAGAGGGCAAGAUUGUGUGGCCAUUGAGGUCAGAUAUCACCAAAAAUGUUAUAGGCAAUAUACAUGUACUGAAUUUCUUAGACAGUUAUCAGAAAGCAAAGAUGACUAGCCCUCCGUCGAAUAUUAAACCACAUACAAUAUAUUCUGUGAAGAUGUCAUAAGAGAAAUAAUCAUAAAUGGCCAGCAAAGUUGUCUUGUACAGAGAGAGAGAGAGAGAAAU